rnacentral:rRNA from 1 species
CCUACGGGUGGCAGCAGUGAGGAAUAUUGGUCAAUGGUCGGGAGACUGAACCAGCCAAGCCGCGUGCGGGAUGAAGGUACAGAGUAUCGUAAACCUCUUUUGUCAGGGAACAAAGGCGGGGACGUGUCCCCGGAUGAGUGUACCUGAAGAAAAAGCAUCGGCUAACUCCGUGCCAGCAGCCGCGGUAAUACGCAGGACGCGCGUGUAUUCCGUUUUUAUUUGGUGUAAGGGGUGCGAAGGCGGUCUGUUAAGUCAGCGGUAAAAGCCGGGGGCUCAACCCCGCACCGCCGUUGAAACUGGCAGUCUUGAGUGGGAGAAAGGUAGGCGGAAUGCGCGGUGUAGCGGUGAAAUGCAUAGAUAUCGCGCAGAACUCCGAUUGCGAAGGCAGCAUGCCGGCUCCACACUGACGCUGAGGCACGAAAGCGUGGGUAUCGAACAGGAUUAGAUACCCUGGUAGUC